rnacentral:tRNA from 1 species
GCCUGGGUGGCUCAGUUAGUUGAGCAUCUGACUUCAGUUUAGGUCACAAUCUCACAGUUUGUGAGUUCGAGCCCCACGUUGGGCU